rnacentral:rRNA from 1 species
AACGAACGCUGGCGGCAGGCUUAACACAUGCAAGUCGAACGCCCCGCAAGGGGAGUGGCAGACGGGUGAGUAACGCGUGGGAACAUACCCUUUUCUACGGAAUAGCUCUGGGAAACUGGAAUUAAUACCGUAUACGCCCUACGGGGGAAAGAUUUAUCGGGGAAGGAUUGGCCCGCGUUGGAUUAGCUAGUUGGUGGGGUAAAGGCCUACCAAGGCGACGAUCCAUAGCUGGUCUGAGAGGAUGAUCAGCCACAUUGGGACUGAGACACGGCCCAAACUCCUACGGGAGGCAGCAGUGGGGAAUAUUGGACAAUGGGCGCAAGCCUGAUCCAGCCAUGCCGCGUGAGUGAUGAAGGCCUUAGGGUUGUAAAGCUCUUUCACCGAUGUAGAUAAUGACGGUAGUCGGAGAAGAAGCCCCGGCUAACUUCGUG